UUUGCAUAUGAGUUUCACACGGCUGGAGGCCAAGGUCAAGUUGAAAGUUGCAGUCUAGUCAGGG
ensembl:misc_RNA